AUCGUUUGGGAUACACAAAAACCUGUUUAGUCCUUGGAAUUUCCCCUUCUUGAUUAAACGACCUAUAUAAACACCGGCGAUGAAAACUACUACAACUUAAUAAACUUCAUGUUAAUCGUCCACGUCAAAUAAGAAAACACGUUGAGCUCUCUCUUGUCCUUCAAUGCGACCCUCUACAUUAAUUAUUAUGAAAUUUCUGACCCAUCGACGUGAAAAAUGUUAUCGCGAGACGAAAUUAAUUUUUACAUUCUGAAUGUGGCGUUAAGGAUAUUAGUUUUAUUAAGAUGCGGGGGUCUUUUUUUCUCAAAAAACAUUAUUUCAUUCGGUUAAGUAUAGUAAAAAAUACUCCUAUUUUUUCACGUAGUACCAUAAAAGAUGCGGCAUUUCCUAACCAUACUUGAAUCGCUUGUU